rnacentral:rRNA from 1 species
AUUGGGUAGGGGAGCGUUCUGUAAGCCGUUGAAGGUGGUCUGUAAGGGCUGCUGGAGGUAUCAGAAGUGCGAAUGCUGACAUGAGUAACGACAAAGGGGGUGAAAAACCUCCUCGCCGGAAGACCAAGGGUUCCUGUCCAACGUUAAUCGGGGCAGGGUGAGUCGACCCCUAAGGUGAGGCCGAAAGGCGUAAUCGAUGGGAAACGGGUUAAUAUUCCCGUACUUCUGACUAUUGCGAUGGGGGGACGGAGAAGGCUAGGUGGGCCAGGCGACGGUUGUCCUGGUUCAAGUGCGUAGGCUUAAGAGUUAGGUAAAUCCGGCUCUUUCUAAGGCUGAGACACGACGUCGAGCUGCUACGGCAGUGAAGUCAUUGAUGCCAUGCUUCCAGGAAAAGCCUCUAAGCUUCAGAUAGUCAGGAAUCGUACCCCAAACCGACACAGGUGGUCGGGUAGAGAAUACCAAGGCGCUUGAGAGAACUCGGGUGAAGGAACUAGGCAAAAUGGUACCGUAACUUCGGGAGAAGGUACGCUCUUGAUGGUGAAGUCCCUUGCGGAUGGAGCUGACGAGAGUCGCAGAUACCAGGUGGCUGCAACUGUUUAUUAAAAACACAGCACUGUGCAAAAUCGCAAGAUGACGUAUACGGUGUGACGCCUGCCCGGUGCCGGAAGGUUAAUUGAUGGGGUUAGCGCAAGCGAAGCUCUUGAUCGAAGCCCCGGUAAACGGCGGCCGUAACUAUAACGGUCCUAAGGUAGCGAAAUUCCUUGUCGGGUAAGUUCCGACCUGCACGAAUGGCGUAAUGAUGGCCACGCUGUCUCCACCCGAGACUCAGUGAAAUUGAAAUCGCUGUGAAGAUGCAGUGUACCCGCGGCUAGACGGAAAGACCCCGUGAACCUUUACUACAGCUUGGCACUGAACAUUGAACCUACAUGUGUAGGAUAGGUGGGAGGCUAUGAAGACGUGACGCUAGUUGCGUUGGAGCCGUCCUUGAAAUACCACCCUUGUAUGUUUGAUGUUCUAACUUAGCCCCAUUAUCUGGGGUGAGGACAGUGCCUGGUGGGUAGUUUGACUGGGGCGGUCUCCUCCCAAAGAGUAACGGAGGAGCACGAAGGUGGGCUAAUCACGGUUGGACAUCGUGAGGUUAGUGCAAUGGCAUAAGCCCGCUUAACUGCGAGAAUGACGGUUCGAGCAGGUGCGAAAGCAGGUCAUAGUGAUCCGGUGGUUCUGUAUGGAAGGGCCAUCGCUCAACGGAUAAAAGGUACUCCGGGGAUAACAGGCUGAUACCGCCCAAGAGUUCAUAUCGACGGCGGUGUUUGGCACCUCGAUGUCGGCUCAUCACAUCCUGGGGCUGAAGUCGGUCCCAAGGGUAUGGCUGUUCGCCAUUUAAAGUGGUACGCGAGCUGGGUUUAGAACGUCGUGAGACAGUUCGGUCCCUAUCUGCCGUGGGCGUUGGAAGAUUGAAGGGGGCUGCUCCUAGUACGAGAGGACCGGAGUGGACGAACCUCUGGUGUUCGGGUUGUGUCGCCAGACGCAUUGCCCGGUAGCUAAGUUCGGAAUUGAUAAGCGCUGAAAGCAUCUAAGCGCGAAGCGAGCCCUGAGAUGAGUCUUCCCUGAUACUUUAAGUAUCCUAAAGGGUUGUUCGAGACUAGAACGUUGAUAGGCAGGGUGUGUAAGCGUUGUGAGGCGUUGAGCUAACCUGUACUAAUUGCCCGUGAGGCUUAACCAUACAACACCCAAGGGGUUUUGUA